AUGCCCAGUGAUUAUAAAAAAGACGCGUUAUUCUGAGGGACACAACCUGCUGCCAGACUUUCACCUACCUUGUGCUCCUCUGUCCAUCUCUUCAAUCUUUUCAUUCUUUCUCCUUUCCUCCAGCUCUCCUUUUUCAUUCUGGCAGCUGGUCCACUGAUUGCGAUUAUGAGAUAUGAGGGCAU